UGUGUAAUGUAAAAUAGAAACUCUUCUGCACCCUAAUGCAUACAGCUUAGCUAAUUUGUUUGCAUUAUUGUACUUUAUUCAUAAGCAUGAUGUUGCAUAUUCAGAGUGAUACUCAUUAACUUUAUGGCGCUGAUUCUUAGUGAAAUAUCUUUGCACUACUCUCUCUCUCUCUCUAUGGCAGCAUCAAAAGCAUAACUUGGUUAAGCUUUGGUAUAGUUUGCAUUGAAAAUCCGAUUCGGCAUCAGAUGGUGUGUUAAACUACCCUCGGUAGUAUCUGAAGAAGUUUUCUCAUAAAAAACACUGCAAAAUAUUUCAUCAAAGAUGUUGCAAUACCUUUUCUUCUUCAUGCUAUUAUUGGGAGGUGUUUCUUCUAGCUAUGAUGAACCCCUAGCUGCUAACACCAAAAUUUAUAUUGUCUAUACCGGAGAUACCAUCAAAGAUGAAGCUUCUUGUUUGCUCCACUAUAAUUAUUUGCUACAACAGCAACUCGACAACAAAAACUAUAUUUUUAUUAUUGGCGUAGUUUCAACGGAUUUGUUGUGAAGCCGAUAAAAUGGCAGGAGUUGUUGGAGUUGUUUCUGUUUUUCCGGAUGAAAAGAGACAACUCCUCACAAUAAGAUCAUGGGAUUAUUGGCUUUACACAAGAGGUGAAAAGACAAAACUAUGAAAGUGAUGUUAUAGUUGGAGUGAUUGAUUCUGGAGUUUGGCCAGAAUCGAAAAGCUUCGAUGAUAAAGGGUUCAGUCCACCACCUGCCAAAUGGAAGGGUUCAUGCCAAGCUUUUGAUUUUACCUGCAAUAAGAAUUGUCUAACCAACUCUUUAGAUGAUAAGUUGGUGAAAGGAAAAAUUGUUUUAUGUGAUGGAGACCUAGGAGUCGCGGAAGCCUUUCGGGUAGUUGCUGUUGGUGUCUUGAUGCAAGAACAAGCUUAUAUUGAUAUGGCAAUCUCUUUUCCUUUGCCUGCGUGUUAUCUUCAAUCAAAAGAUGUAGUGAAAAUACAAGUUCUACGAGCUUUCCGACUGCAACCAUAUUUAAGACAAUUGAGUUAAAAGAUAGUUUACCACCUAUUGUUGCAUCUUUCUCAUCGAAGGGUCUAAACAACGUUACGCCUGAGAUUUUGAAGCCCGACUUAAUUGCUCCUGGAGUUGACAUCAUAGCGAGCUGGUCUCCAAUCUCUCUGAUUUCUGAAUUUUUUGGUGAGACCAGAAAAUUGAAGUUCAAUAUUAUAUCAGGAACAUCAAUGGCAUGCCCUCAUGUAUCCGGAGCAGCGGCGUACAUAAAGUCAUUCCAUCCCACAUGGUCACCGGCUGCAAUUCGGUCGGCUCUUAUGACAACAGGUUUUUAUGUGGACAGGGCUUCAAAACAACUGAUCUACGACAAAUCACGAGGGAUGACAGCAUAUGCUCUAACACAUCAUAUCCAUCUGCAAGGGAUUUAAACUACCCAUCUUUUGCUCUAAAUGUCCAAAGUUCCACACAUAGUUUUAGAGGAAGCUUUCGAAGGACCGUCACAAAUGUUGGAAGACCAAAUUCUAUAUACACCGCAAAUGUGACAGCCCCUGAAGGACUUCAUAUUUCAGUGAAUCCUGCAAAAUGAAUCCUGCAAUUUUGUCAUUCACUUCAGUGGGUGAAAAAAAGACAUAUGUCCUUACUAUAGAUGGAAAAAUGAAGAAGGAUAUUGUGUUGUCAGCUUCUUUGGUAUGGAACGAUGGUAAUUUUAGAGUGAGAAGUCCAAUAAUUGUUUUUGAUGAAAGAGCUGAGAAAGUUACAGGCUCUUCAAAUUUGUAUAUUAUUAUUAUUGUAGUUGCGGUUAUUAUUUUUAUUUUUGCUUUUCUUUUCUGUAUUAUGACAGCAUAUGCCAAAAUAUAGUGUUCUUUUUAUGUGAGUUAUAUGAUAUAUGAUGGAGGCUAUAAAUAGGGUAAGUUGGCAUUCAUGGUUUAACAAAAGAUGUUGCAAUGGAGCUAAUAAAGAAGGAGGAAAGAGGCUUUGUAUGUAGAUGAAAAGUCAUGUGCGUUAAGAAAGGAUGACAUGCAUAGCCAAAAUCUAUUACUAUAUUUAAUUUCUAUGUUCAA